rnacentral:rRNA from 1 species
GACGAACCGUGCGAACGUUAUUCGGAAUCACUGGGCUUAAAGGGCGCGUAGGCGGGCCCGCCAGUCCGUGGUGAAAUCCUCCGGCUUAACCGGAGAACUGCCAUGGAUACUGCGGGUCUCGAGGGGUGUAGGGGCAUGCGGAACUCAGGGUGGAGCGGUGAAAUGCGUAGAUAUCCUGAGGAACGCCGGUGGCGAAAGCGGCGUGCUGGACACCUUCUGACGCUGAGGCGCGAAAGCCAGGGGAGCAAACGGG